UGCCGGUCACUUUUCUGUCAUGUGAGUUGUGUGUAAGCUGUAUAAAACAAACGAAAGAAGCAGGAGUUCUAUCAUUCUACGCACGUAUCUAGCACAGCUUUCGACGCGAAUGCAGCUCAGUUGACGGGAUAAGAUUGAUUUUAUGGGAUAUUUUACUAGAUAAUUGGACUAUCAGCUGAAAGAUGGGAAAAGGAAAGCAAUUUUUGCUGUUAUUGUGGAAGAAUGUUGUCCUUCUCAAGAGAUCUCCAGUGCGAGCUUUCUUUCAAAUUUCAAUGCCACUAUUUUUUAUAAUAAUUCUUGUCAUUCUGAGAGCCUCUGUUGUUAAAGUGGAACCUAAACCAAGCCGUAACUAUUCUGCAUUUGGCAUUGUUGAAUUACCACCCAAUGUCACUCAAACAAAACUGGCAUUUACUCCCAACACAAGUGAUGUGAGGCAGAUUAUGGAUUUGGUUGCAAAGCAACUUGUGCGUUUAUCUGUUGUUGGAUUCCAAACUGAGAAAGAAAUGCAAACAUUUUUAGUAAAUGAGGAAGAGCAGAAUAAUGGCAAAGAAAAAAAGAAAAGGAAAAAUGUAUCCCUUGGUGGAAUUGUCUUCAAUAGGACUCUCUACUCCAGAAAUAUUAUUUAUAAGAUUCGCCUUAGUUCUAAAGCAAGCGGAAGUGGGAAAUCACCAUUUGGAGCAUCUCCUUCAACAUCCUGGCUCACUCAAUUAACAUUUCCAGUGUUCCAGAAGCCAGGACCUCGAACUGUAGAUAAUGGUUAUGGUGGCCCUCCACCUUAUUAUAGUGAAGGAUUUCUGUCUCUUCAACAUGCUGUGGAUUCUGCAAUUGUUAAGUACAUAGGAAACAUUUCAGCCCUGAACACAACAGUGUCGAUGAAACGAUUUCCUUAUCCUCAUUAUAUUCACGAUGAAUUUGUGUUGGUCAUUCAAAACUCUCUACCCUUACUCUUGAUGUUGUCUCUUAUCUUCACUGCCCUAAACAUUGUACAGGAUAUUGUUUAUGAAAAGGAAAAGAAACUGAAGGAAUCAAUGAAGAUGAUGGGUCUAAAUGGUUGGCUCCAUUGGUUGGCAUGGUUUACAAAGUACUUCAUAUUCCUUGUCAUUACCAUGGCCUUAGCAGCUGUUUUCUUCACUGUGAAGUUCAGUGAAAGGGGCCGCGUCCUGAAUCAAAGCUCACGCUCUGUCAUAUUUGUAUUCUUUCUUCUGUAUUCAAUAUCAUCCAUCAUGUUCUGUUUCUGCAUCAGUGUCUUCUUCUCCAAGGCAAAUAUUGCUGCGGCUGCAGGAGGGAUUCUCUGGUUCAUGAACUACAUUCCAUAUUUCUUUAUCCAACAGUCUUAUGAUACGAUGGGUCUGGGAAGUAAGCUGGCAAGCUGCCUCCUUUCUAAUGUUGCCAUGUCAUUGGGUGCUCAGUUGAUUGGGAAAUUUGAAGGGGAGGGAACUGGAGUUCAGUGGUCAAAUCUCAAUCGUGGGCCUUCCAUUGAUGAUGAUCUUACACUUGGUUAUGUCUUUUGGAUGUUUGCUGUGGACUCAGUUGUUUAUGGUUUGAUAGCUUGGUAUGUUGAGGCAGUAUUUCCUGGUGACUAUGGGGUUCCACAACCUUGGUACUUCCCUGUUUUGCCCAGUUACUGGUGUGGAAAAAGCAAAGAGGUGGAAGUACGCAAUAUUCACAGUAUGCAAAAUGGCACCACACCUGCAGCAACUGCUCCUGAGUUUCUAGAAAAAGAUCCUGUUGGUUUGGAGCGAGGUGUUGAAAUACGAAACCUGAAGAAAGUUUUCUCCACAGAGAAAGGAAAGAAAACAGCAGUCAAUGGAGUGUCUUUGAACUUGUAUGAAGGGCAGAUUACUGUACUUUUGGGGCACAAUGGGGCUGGUAAAACAACACUGAUGUCCAUGCUGACUGGACUAUUUCCUGCCACUUCUGGCUCUGCACUUGUAAAUGGCUGUUCAAUCAGUGAUAAUAUUAGUGGUGUACGCAGCAGUCUAGGUCUCUGUCCCCAGCAUGAUGUGUUGUUUGACCGUCUAACUGUUGAAGAGCAUCUAUGGUUCUUUGCCAAGCUAAAGACCCGCUCAUCCUGGCAGGUGAAAAAGGAGGUUGACAGAAUGAUAGAGUGCAUUGGUCUGUCAGACAAGAGACAAACACAGGCUCGUGCACUGUCUGGUGGCAUGAAAAGGAAACUCUCAGUAGGAAUAGCACUGAUUGGUGGCUCAAAGGUUGUGAUGUUAGAUGAACCAACAUCUGGUAUGGACCCAUCAGCACGUAGGUUUACUUGGGAUUUACUACAGCAGCAUAAGGAAGGCAGGACUAUUCUUCUCACCACUCACUUUAUGGAUGAAGCAGACAUUCUCGGUGAUAGGAUUGCCAUCAUGGCUGAGGGCAAUGUCAAAUGUUGUGGCUCUUCUCUGUUUCUUAAGAACAGAUAUGGAGUGGGCUAUCACAUGGUCAUUGUAAAGGAGCCCUCUUGCGACGUCUCUAAGGUUACUGCUAUGGUCACUAGUCACGUGCCUACAGCUACUGUGGAGAGUAAUAUUGGAGCCGAACUUUCUUUUAUUUUGCCAAGUGAAGCCACAGGCAACUUUGAGAAUCUCUUUCUGGAGUUAGAGACUCGCCGCAAAGAACUUGGAAUCGCCAGUUAUGGCGCCUCGGUUACAACCAUGGAGGAAGUUUUUCUCAAAGUUGGAGAGGAAAUGGACAGUAGUCUAAGCGAUAAACUUCAGCAGAAUAGCAAAGGAACACCGUCAGCCAACGGUAUUUUGGAUAGGGUAAGUAUACCUGUUCCAAGCGAGAAAUCCUCCGUUAUGGCACGUAUGGGUACGUUGGGAGCGUCCUCGGCCAGCUAUGGCACAUUUGGGGACUACAACAACUACAAUCACACUUCCAGUUUCCGGCUGUUUCGUCAGCGGUGGUACGCAAUGUUUGUGAAACGUAUCUUGCACUCCAAGCGGCACAAGCUGGCUCUCAUAUCUCAGCUUCUACUUCCUCUGGUAUAUACGCUGUUUGCUCUGAUCAGUGCUAAGACCAUUCCUCAGCCUACUGAUUCUCCUCCGCUCACUCUGUCCACACAGAACUUCUUGAACAACUCUGUUCCCUACGAGUGUGAUAACAGCACCUGCAGCUUGGCGGAUAAGUACAGGACUCAGUGGUCUGAUGAGAGCAAGACACAUCCUGUGAAAGUCGAAGUCGAUAUGGGACGGUACCUGUUGGAAAAACCGAGCGAAAUAGGAGUUGGCCCCUUCAACAAAAGAGACCUGAUUGCAGCCACCUUCCAGAAACAGAACGAUACAGUAAAUGUCACAGCGUGGUUCAAUAACCAAGCAUACCAUUCCAUCGCGGUGUCUCUAGCAGCUGCCGACAACGCCAUCUUACGGGCUGCUCUGGGCAGUAACUACACACUAACGACCGUUAACCACCCGCUGCCAAGAACUGCUAAAGAAUCUGCAAAUGAUUUACAGCGCAAUGGCGUCGGGUUCAAUGUCGCGAUCAACAUUUUAUUUGGUAUGGCUUUCCUGGCUUCAAGUUUCGUCGUAUUUCUUGUCCAAGAACGAUCCAAUAAAGCGAAACACGUUCAGUUUGUCAGCGGUGUGGACCCAUUUAGCUACUGGGAUUCUGCGUACACCUGGGACUUGAUUAACUUCCUCCUCCCAACGCUGUCUCUUCUGUUCCUCGUGGCUGCUUUUGACGUGCCGGCUUAUACAGGUGCUCGUCUUGGCUAUCUGUUCAUUUUGCUGAUGUUGUAUGGCUGGGCGAUUAUACCUCUCAUGUAUCUCUUCUCGUUCGCGUUUCGAACUGCAUCAACUGCCUUUGUCGUUCUGACUGUCUUCAACAUCCUCACCGGACUGGCUGCACUGUUGACCGUCUUCAUUUUAAGUAUACCAGGACUUGACCUUUUGUACGUGGCUGAUGAUCUUAAAUGGGCUUUCCUCGUCUUGCCGAACUACUGCCUCGGCCAAGGAAUUUCAGACAUUUUCAAUAACUACAAUGCACUGUAUUAUGUGGACCAGUUUUGUUCUAAAGUAAAGUUUCCCCUGGCAGACUGUGAAAAAAUGGCCAAAGACCUAGAGUUGAAGUUUCAAACGAAUUAUUUGGCCUGGGAUAAUCCUGGUAUAGGCCGAUACCUGGUUUUCUUGGCUUUGGAAGGAAUUGUUUUCUACUCUCUCGUGCUGUUGAUCGAGUAUGGUGCAUUUAGCGCCUGCGCGCGAUUUUUUAAGCGCUUGCGCGCCUUCUCCGCAAACGUGAUUGUAUCUCAGGAAUCGCACUCGGCCGAUGAUGACGACGUUCUAGACGAGAAGGAAAGAGUAAUGAGGUCUACGGACAAAGACGAUGUGCUCGUAAUCAGGGAGCUGAGCAAGGUUUUCUAUGGAAACGGCCGUCGUUCUCCGUUGGUUGCUGUGGAUAGUUUAAGUCUUGGUGUCCCUAUGAAUGAGUGUUUUGGUCUCUUGGGAAUUAACGGAGCAGGGAAGACCACAACCUUCCGCAUGUUGACUGGUGACGAGACAAUGACAUCCGGGACAGCUCUGGUCGAAGGGUUUGACAUCAGGACCAACAUGAACAAGUGGUGGAAACAAACGCAAGCUGAGUACAGCCAUAUCACUGGUAGGGGACCCUCCAGUAGUAUUUCUGGAUGAACCCACGACUGGAAUGGACCCAGUGGCUAGGAGACUAUUAUGGGAUGCACUGUCACGUGUACGGGCGGAUGGACGAUGUAUCGUGAUCACGUCACACAGUAUGGAAGAAUGCGAAGCUCUUUGUACCCGACUCGCCAUUAUGGUUAAUGGACGUUUCAAAUGCCUCGGAAGUCCGCAGCACCUCAAAACCAAGUUUGGUGAGGGAUACACUGUGUUGGCAAGAGUGGGCAGCGAUACACC
rnacentral:misc_RNA from 1 species